ACGUCAGCCCACAAACUCGUUCGGGAUGAAACGAACUCUCCCGAACGCCGUCCACUCCUCUGCCUCACUCCUUUUCCCCACUCUUCCCCUAUCCUCCCCCGGCUGCCUCUAAUACGGUGAGGCCCGCGGAUCCCGGCGACUCCCGGCGAGUAGCCCGCGCUAGAUGCGUGGUAGGAGAGCCCCGGAUGGCGGUAGAUGGCUGGAUCCCACCCAAGCACGCCAGGGCACGGAGACGAACCGUGCGGCCGUCUUCAUGAGUGGCGGCUCGCCGGAGGCCGGGCGGCCGCGUGGGUAUGACCGGGUCAAGGCGCUCACCGCCGAUCGCGCGCGCCUGGAAGCGGAGAACGAGAGGCCCUCCAUGCGCGGCCGUCUUCAUGAGCCGCGGCUCGCCGGAGACCGGGCGGUGGCGUGUGUAUGACCGGGUCGAGCCGCUUGUCGCCGACCACGCGCGCCUGGAAGCGGAGAACGAGGCCCUCCACGCGCGACCGUCUCCAUGAGCGGCGGCUCGCCAGAGGCCGGGCGGCGGCGUGGUUACGUCCGGGUCGAGGCGCUCGCUGCCGACCGCUCGCCGCGUUUUCUACAAAUUGUGCAGCUCGUGUCUAAGGAGCCCUAUUCCCCCGAUGAAUUCGCAUGCGUGAUGCAUCCUCACGAAUCUCAUCUUCUGUAGGUAAACACAUCUCACCUACCCUUUAUUUGGACUAUUGAGGAAUCGCGUAACAGAUUGGUUCGUGCCCUGGUUCCAUUGAAUUUUUUUUCUUCUUGUGAGCUUGUGAGUCCUAUGCUUCUAUUUCUUCCCUCAGGUCAUGUUGACUCUUGUGCAUGGAUUGAUAAUUGAGAAAGAAAUCAAUGAAUUCUAGAAGAAAUCGCUUGCCAAUGUCACGGGUCCAUAUGAUUCUGCUAUGACCACGAUGGCAACAAUGAAACAAAUAUACCAAUGCCUUUAAAGAAGAGAAGUGAAUUCAGAAAAAGUUAAGCAUGGGAAUGUAUAAACCAACUUAUGUUAUGAUCGAGCAACCAGGGAUCGCACAUCACAGCUCCAAAAACACAAUGGUGCCAUGGGGUAAUUUUUAUCAUUUACUUCUUCAACACAAAUAUCAGUUUUUUGGUGCUUGUUGAAAGAGCUGCGUGGAUCUUCCAUGAUUCCUCCCAAGGUGAUAUAAUCUAUUUCUAUCUCUAUCUUCUUUUAUUUUGCGUGUGAUAUUUCUCUGUUUCGGUUGCAAAUCAAUAGAUUUGGAAGUAGUGCUAUCGGUGGAUGCAAAUCCAUCGACCUGUAAGUGAUGUUGAUGCUAGAUGUUUAGUUUUGCUCUAUAUGUAUAAAUCUGUGCUUGAAAACUGAUUGAAUUGAUCAGAUUACCACUUGUAUUUGUUCUUUGCCUGAUAUCAUGUGCAAAUGCUCUGACACUUCUUGUUCAUGACUUCUUAUAGUGUAGCCCAUUCAUGAGAACGUAUAUGCACUUCUUGUUCUUGUUGAGAUUAUACACUACCAAAAAGGGAUGAUUUCAUCGAUUCAACAUUGGUAAGGAAAAUUGUGCUACUGGUAAGAACAGAUGCUUCACAUAAUCAUUUCUUCCUCGUUUGUCCUCCUAAUAAGAAUAGGUACAUGCUGAAUGCGUUUCUUUCUGGCUCAUGGUUAAAACAGAUGUUCUUUUUGCAUUUUUCUGCUGGUAAGAGUAGAUGCAUCGGUCGAGUCUUCUCUUUUUGUAUUUUUUAUUGAGUAAAGCUGCUUAACCUGGGUGUAUCUUUUGUUGGUCUCUUCUGAAGUGAUGUUACACAUGUAGAUAAAUACAAGAAAUUAUGAGGCCAAUUCAUAUAUACACUUGUCAUUGUGAAAUUAUGUCUCAAAUUCUUUGACAAUGAUAAAAUAACUAUGUUUGUGCAUGCCUAGGAUCUUGUGCCACACUCAUUGCUAUGAGACUUGCAUUUUGGUUUCAUGUUUCUGCAGUACUAUUGUAACAUACUCCCGCUGUCCUUGAAAGAUUGUACUUCCAACUUUGUUGGAGGGUUAAACUAUCUCUAAGUUUGACCGAGUUUGUGGAAAAAUUUAUCAAUGUUUAUGAAACCAAAUAGGUAUAUGAUGAAAAUAUAUCGUGUCAUGAAUCUAAUUCUACUAAUUUGAUGGCAUAAAUGUUGAUGUAUUAUUGUAUAAAUACGGUCAAACAUAAUAAAAUUUGACUUUCCAACAAAGUUGAAAGUAUACUCUUUUAAGGACGGAGGGAGUAUAUGCUUUGUGUUUAUCUCUUCUUAAUGAAGGUGAUCAAGAAAUUGUUGAAAACAAGUUACUGCAAAGAGGCUGUAUGGUGCAAAGUUUACAUGUCAAAUAGACGCCGAAGUCAACCUAUAUUUACAAUGCAGGGACGGGCGCGGCAACGCGUCUUCAUGGUCUAGUAUAUAUAAAAAACUUGCCUACUACGUUGCAUACAUGCGUGCUAGGGCAACAGAGUCUGUGUCCAACUUCGAUGAGGUUUGGUAUCAUUUUCUUCGGACAACUUUUCUUUUGCGGGGAAUUUCUUCGGACAACUUGAUUUGUCAUAUAACGGCCACUGAAAUUUUUCAUCGCUACAUAUGUAGUUGCUUAUAAAAUCUCUCGGUCGCGCAUACCGUUUGGUCAA